rnacentral:rRNA from 1 species
GCCUGUUCUAGAACCGAUAACCCCCGUUCAACCUCACCCUUCCUUGUUUAACCCGCCUAUAUACCGCCGUCGUCAGCUUACCCUGUGAAGGACUAAUAGUAAGCAAAACUGGUACAACCUAAAACGUCAGGUCGAGGUGUAGCGUAUGGAGGGGGAAGAAAUGGGCUACAUUCGCUACUACAGCGAACACGAAUGAUGUACUGAAACGUAAAUCUGAAGGAGGAUUUAGCAGUAAGCAGGAAAUAGAGCGUCCCGCUGAAACUGGCCCUGAAGCGCGCACACACCGCCCGUCACUCUCCCCAAAAACACCAAUCAAUUAACUAAAACCUAAUAAUUAAAAAGGGGAGGCAAGUCGUAACAUGGUAAGUGUACCGGAAGGUGCGCUUGGAAAA